rnacentral:rRNA from 1 species
CUACGGGGCGCUGCAGUGAGGAAUAUUGCACAAUGGGGGGAACCCUGAUGCAGCAACGCCGCGUGGAGGAUGACGCAUUUCGGUGUGUAAACUCCUUUUAUAUGUCAAGAAAAUGACGGUAGCAUAUGAAUAAGCACCGGCUAACUCCGUGCCAGAGCCGCGGUAAUACGGAGGGUGCAAGGGUUACUCGGAAUCACUGGGCGUAAAGGACGCGUAGGCGGGUUGGAAAGUCAGGUGUGAAAUCCUACAGCUUAACUGUAGAACUGCACUUGAAACUUCUAAUCUAGAGUAUGGGAGGGGGAGAUGGAAUUAGUUGUGUAGGGGUAAAAUCCGUAGAUAUCACUAGGAAUACCUAAAGCGAAGGCGAUCUCCUGGAACAUUACUGACGCUAAGGCGUGAAAGCGUGGGGAGCAAACAGGAUUAGAUACCCGGGUAGUC